GCCGUUAUAGUAUAGUGGUCAGUACUUCCGCUUGUGGUUCCCAAAACACCAAUCCCGCGGACAACGUAGGUUCGAUUCCUGCUAACGGCA